AUGCUUAGCCUUGUCCAACCCAGCUGUAAAACUCAGAAACCAGUCUUACUUGUUAUCAUCUAUCGUCCACCUGGGCCUUACACAGAGUUUCUCUCUGAUUUCUCAGACUUUUUAUCUGAUUUAGUGCUCAGCUCAGAUAAAAUAAUUAUUGUGGGUGAUUUUAACAUCCAUGUAGAUGCUAAAAAUGACAGCCUCAACAUGGCAUUUAAUCUGUUAUUAGACUCAAUUGGCUUCUCCCAAAAUGUAAAAGAACCCACCCACCACUUUAAUCACACUCUAGAUCUUGUUUUAACAUAUGGCAUAGAAACUGAAGAUUUAACAGUGUUUCCUGAAAACCCUCUGCUGUCUGAUCAUUUCCUGAUAACAUUUACAUUUACAAUAAUUGAUUACACAGCAGUGGAGAGUAGACUUUAUCAAAGUAGAUGUCUUUCUGAAAGUGCUGUAACUAAGUUUAAGAAUAUAAUCCACCCACUGUUAUCAUCUUCAAUGCCCUGUACCAACAUAGAGCAGAGCAGCUAUCUGAACGCUACUCCAACAGAGGUCGAUCAUCUUGUUAAUAAUUUUACCUCCUCACUACGUACGACUCUGGAUACUGUAGCUCCUGUGAAAACUAAGGCCUCAAAUCCGAAGUACCUGACUCCGUGGUAUAAUUCUCAAACACGUAGCCUAAAGCAGAUAACUCGUAAGCUGGAGAGGAAAUGGCGUGUCACAAAUUUAGAGGAUCAUCAUUUAGCCUGGAGAAAUAGUUUGUUGCUUUAUAAGAAAGCCCUCCGCAAAGCCAGAACAUCUUACUAUUCGUCACUGAUUGAAGAAAAUAAGAACAACCCCAGGUUUCUCUUCAGCACUGUAGCCAGGCUGACAAACAGUCAGAGCUCUAUUGAGCCAACAAUCCCUUUAACGUUAACUAGUAAUGACUUCAUGAACUUCUUCACAAAUAAAAUUUUUAUCAUUAGAGAAAAAAUUACCAAUAAUCAUCCCACAGAUGUAAUAUUAUCUACAGCUACUUUUAGUACCAUUGAUGUUAAGUUAGACUCUUUUUCUCCAACUGAUCUUUCUGAGUUAACUUCAAUAAUUAAUUCCUCCAAACCAUCAACGUGUCUUUUAGACCCCAUUCCUACAAAACUGCUCAAAGAAGUCCUGCCAUUAAUUAAUGCUUCAAUCUUAAAUAUGAUCAACCUAUCUCUAAUAAUCGGCUAUGUACCACAGGCCUUCAAGCUGGCUGUAGUUAAACCUUUACUUAAAAAGCCAUCUCUAGACCCAGCUGUCUUAGCUAAUUAUAGGCCAAUCUCCAACCUUCCUUUCAUAUCAAAAAUCCUUGAAAGAGUAGUUGUCAAACAGCUAACAGAUCAUCUGCAGAGGAAUGGCUUAUUUGAAGAGUUUCAGUCAGGUUUCAGAGCUCAUCACAGCACAGAAACAGCUUUGGUGAAGGUUACAAAUGAUCUUCUUAUGGCCUCUGACAGUGGACUCAUCUCUGUGCUUGUCCUGCUAGACCUCAGUGCUGCGUUUGAUACUGUUGAUCAUAAUAUCCUAUUAGAGUGA
rnacentral:lncRNA from 1 species